ensembl:lncRNA novel transcript
GAAAAUUUAUCAGCCUGGCCAUGUAAAAAGUGAAAAAGCAAGGAUGUAGCCCAGAGGCCAUUUGCUAAAGAGAUUAGCAUGGCUAGAAGGGAUCCAGGUGCUAUUCCUCAAGACAAUGGAAGAAAGACCUCAAAGGCAUUUCAGAGAUUUUCAAGGCUGCCCCUCUUAUCACAGACCCAGAGGCCUAGGAGGGCAGAAUGGUUUCAGGGAGCAAGCCCAGGCACUUUCUGUGGGCUUACUGCCCAAGACCACCUCCAGACUCUGUGCCCCAGCACAGUACUCUGAGGACACCCCAGCAAGAACUCAAGCAGGCCAAGGUGUGGCUCAUGCUGCAGAUCUGGAAGUGUACCACAACCCAGAGUGGAGGGAAGUUAACAUCCUAUGGGGCAACCUUCAGCUAUUGGAAGACAGGAGCCAGGGGAUAGAUAGCCCUUUACUCCCAAGUGAUCUGGAGAUGCAUUUCAUCCGGCUUCUCAGAUGGUUUUCUGGGACUGAACAACCCUUCACCAGCGGAGAUGGCCAACUUGACAAGACCUCCUUCCAUUGGAUUUCCCUCCUGCUUUGCUGUGCUCCCUCUGCCUUACUCCAGCUUUCUGAGGUCAUGCUCCCCAGUCAAAUACUAUCACAUAAACCUCUGCCUUGACUUCUGCUUUCUGAAAACACAGGCUAAGCUAACUGGCACCCUCGACAGGCUCUGGGCCCAACCACGGAAUCUUAUACGGAGCUACGGAAAGAGAACUGCAGGUAGAUGAUCAGCAGCAGGACCGUGGCCCAAAACAAGCACCAGGGGAUAGAGCAGAAGUUCCAGCCUGAGCCCGUCUGGUCCUGCGACUUGGUGGGGCUGGGCGCCCGGGAGAAGGUGUAGGUGGUCGCCUCCUCCUCCAGCAGCUUCUCGCUGGGCUUCCAGUGCACGAUGCCCUCCUGGCAGGCCUCGCAGAACUCUCCGCGGUGCCGCCGGUUGUCCUGGCGGCUGGCCACGUGGAUGCGGUACUGGCCGCCACGCUCGCCGUAGCACUGCUCGCGCAGGCUGGUGAUGAGGUUGUCCACCAGGCCCUCGAUGUUCUCCUCCAGCAUGCUGGACUCGUCCAGCCGCGCCGUGCCGCACUCAUAGCACAGCUGCUUGAAGACGCGCAUGCGCACCGAGCCCGCCCGCUGGGCGCGGUCCAGGAACAUGUGGAAGAGGAUGACCACGUAGGGCGACUGCCAGGUGUGCCAGCACCAGGAGCAGUGGAACCUGCGGAGACGGGAGGAGAGGGAGGAAUAGAAGACGGGCGGAGGUGGUGGAAACAGCCCUAGGAAUGGCGUGAGGGGACGUGGAGGCUAAGCAGAGCCUGGAGGUGGAGGAAGUGUGUUGCCGGCGCCCUGGGUUCAUUAGCUUUCCCCAGGAAGCCACUCAGCCUUGCAAGUGCCCCUAGGACUACAGCAGGUUCCUCAGGAUGUCACCGGGCAUCCAGCAGUGCUCUACCUCCUCAGUGCUUUCCAGAGGCCUAACUCCCACCACCCCAGCAUUGGGCGUCAUUCUUAUUCCUCAUGGGCAAAAUGCGCUUGGUGCACUAGAGUGAGAGAGGCAUCCAUGUACACACAGCUAGAGGCAGAACCGGCGCCCAGCACGUAACAGGUGCCCAGUAAUGUUUCCUGAAUUGAAGUGAAUUGGCUGAACCAGGGCAAGCAGGAAGGCCUUGCUUCUGACUUCCAGGCUGCACCACUCAGCCUCCCCAUCUUAUGUCUCAAAGACGGAAAAAUUGUGACUCAGAGAGGAAGAGUAACACAGGUGAUCAGUAGAAGAGCUGAAAUCCAACUCAAGUGUCGUAGUUCCCAGUUAGGGACUCUUUCUCUGACUUCCAGUCUACGCCAGCCUAAUAGUGAGAUUGAAGCUAAACACUUGGGUUCUACGUAAUCUUCCUCUCCUUGGAAGGUGCCCCAGAGCUAGGGACCUAGAGGCGGCCUGCAGGGAUCCACCUUCCUGGGCUACUCACCUGCCUGAAGCAUGCAAUUCCAGGUACUGCUUCCAACCAGGGCUCAGCACAUUGUGCUUGAGGUUGGGGUCUAUGAUGAGGUCCCAGCUGUCAGCCGGCUUUGCCUCCUCCAUCUUCUCAUAGAAGACUUUCUUCCACUCAUCUGUGGUCACGCUUUUACACAUGGUCUCGUCAGUAGUGAGGGAAGGCAAUUUCCACCUUAGUGAGAACACGGAGAGUGAGGGUAGGUGCAGGGCAGGGCAGCGCAGUCUCCACGGUCUAAAAAUCCUCAUCGACAAGACCAGGAGGAAGCAGGACCCAGCUCCCUCCUUUGUCCGCAGUGGAACCUGUUUCCACGGCAACCAGGCAGGUUGCCAGAAGACAGAGCUUGGGGAGGAGGGAGUCUCUGAAGAGGUGUUUCAAGGCCCUGAACUGAGAUUGCAGAGGCAGAGUUUGUGGGUCUAAAUGAUCCAAGACAGAGUGGGGGACCUGACCAGAGAUUGAGCUUCAGACCAUCUCACCCUGGCCUGGAAAGAGUAUGGGGAGGUGAGGACUGGGAACUGGCUCAGUUUCACCUUGCCGUCCCCUGGAGGCAUCAUCAGCAUCUGGCUGCUACGGUAACCAUGAUGCCUUAGGCAGCCAAGGAGAAAUGAGGGAUGGGGAGAUGUAAAUUUGUUAGUAGAUGGAGCAAUAAUAAUAAACUCUCUCUCGGCUUCCCC